rnacentral:lncRNA from 1 species
AUCUGAUGACUGCGUACACUUUUCAGAGGUUUUCCCUCUGCCCACCGCAUCCCAGGCCCAGAGGUCCAGGUGGAGAGUGGAAAAUGCCUUCGUUCAACUUACGUCCCAGAGAACAUCUGGCGAUUACGAGACCCGGGUACCCGAGCUGCUCGCCUCGCUCUUGGGUUGGGUGACCGGGCUCUGUAUUUUUAAGACCUGUUUCUUUGCUUUGCUGCAGUUUCUCUAUGACAUGUCUAGAUGUGAAUUUCUUUUUAUUUUUUCUGCUUGGGCUUUGUUGGUGUUCUUGAAUUUGUGGAUUGAUAUCUUUUAUCAGCUCUGGAUGUCUUUUUUAGCCUUUCUCUCUCAAACAUUGCCUUUGCCCCUUUCUCUCUGUUUUUUCUUACUGUAAUUCCAAUUAAAUAUAUGUUUUCUUCUCA